rnacentral:rRNA from 1 species
AUUGGUGACUUCAAUGAGAUUUUGCUCUCUUCAGAGAAGGAGGGUGGAGCGUCGCGGCAACAGGCGAGACUCCAAGCCUUCUAAGAUGCGUUGUCUGAUUAUUCCUUGGAGGACAUAGGAUACCAUGGCGAUAAAUUCACAUGGUUCCGUGGUGGUCUGAGGGAACGUUUGGAUCGGGCCGUCUCUAAUGCCGAAUGGAUGGAAAUGCACCCCUUGUGUGGACUGUGCAAACUUGAUAUGGGGAAAUCGGAUCAUAGACCGAUAUGUCUGGACACUGACUACUUGGCCGGCGUGGCAACCCCAAGGAAGCAGGCAAGACGUGUGUUUGAGGCCCGUUGGUUAUCUGAGGAAACAGUGGAAGAAGUAGUUAAAACAGCAUGGUAA